AGAGACCGUCAAGCGUUAUCCGGAUUUAUUGGGCGUAAAGGGUCCGCAGGCGGCCUUAUAAGUCACUCGUCAAAUCUUCGGGCUCAACCCGAAGACUGCGAAUGAUACUGUAAGGCUAGAGGCUGGGAGAGGUACACGGAAUUGUCGGUGUAGGGUAAAAUCCGUUAAUAUCGACAAGAACACCAAAGGCGAAGGCAGUGUACUGGAACAGUUCUGACGCUCAGGGACGAAAGCGUGGGUAGCGAAUGGGAUUAGAUACCCCAGUAGUCCACGCCGUAAACGAUGAAUGCUAGGUAUUGGGAGUAUCGACCCCUCUCAGUGCCCGUUGAACCAAGCUAACGCGUUAAGCAUUCCGCCUGGGGAGUACGGCCGCAAGGCUA
rnacentral:rRNA from 1 species